UUAACCCGGCCCACAUUUAACCCCGCCCCUUUCCGCGGUCUGCAGCGAGGACCAUCUGGCGCUCUUUGCCAGUCUGUGCUCGGUAUACCACUAUUCUGCGAUUGCGACUCAUAUCGCACCAGUAAACAACAAAAGAGAAUGCUACAACCACUACAAAACAUUAGUUAACCUGGUUCACAUGAACCGUUUUCUGGCUGGACCGUCGUGACAGUAGCGUGUGUCUGAAGAUGGCGACUGGAACGGGUUGGCAGCAACCAUACAAUACCGCGUCUGGCAAUCCAUGUAUUAUUACUAGUACAGGGAAAUAUAAUUCAUCGAACAUGUUUUACGAAGCAGGUUUAACGAUGGAAUAUACUCAAGACCUGCACCUGAAAAUGAGUAAGAAAAUAGCACAGCUGACAAAGGUUAUCUACGCCCUCAACACGAAGAACGACGAGCAUGAGGACGAGAUGGAGUCACUGCGGGAGGCCCACGAGGACGAAGUGCAGCACAUUGUGACGGAGACACAUGACAAGAUCAUGCAGUAUAAGAGCAAGAUGGUCGACGAGGUUGACCUGAAGCGCCAUCUGCAAUCGUUGGAGGAGUCUGUGGAGCUGCACGAGCACAUGAAGCGGCAGGCACUGGCUGAAUUUGAGAUGUACCGCCAGCGCAUGGAGGACUCGCAGCUGUGUACUGAGGCGCAACACACGCAGCGCGUGGUCUCCAUGUCACGUGAGGUGGAGGAGAUGCGCCGCGACUUUGAGGAGAAGCUGCGCUCCUUUGGCCAGGCACAGGCCCAGUUCGAGCAGGACAAGCGGAGGGCAAUUGACGAACUACGCACCACCCACCGGCAAGAGGUCCAGGAGCUGCUCCACAGCCAGCAGAACCAGAGCGCCAACUCCACCGUGGAUCAGGAGAAGCUGGCUGAGCUGCACAGGGCUGAGGUGGAGGCCCUCAUGGAGCGAGUGGAGGAGCUGACCAAGGGCAAAGUACAUCUGGUGGAAGAAUACGAAGCCAAGCUCACCAAGGCUCAGGGCUACUAUGAACGCGAACUGGAAGCCAUGAGGCGCACACAGCAGCUGACCGCCGAGAAACUGCUGGCCUGGAAGAGGACUGAGGUGGAGCUGAGGAAGGAGUUCCAGGUGCAGGAGGCAGUGCUGCAGAGGACACUGGGAAAGCUCCGGGCUGAGCUGCAGAGGGCGCAGGAGGAGGCGAGAGAAAGCAGGGACAAGACCAACAGGCUGCAGGCUUCCCUCACCAAUGCAGAGGGCACCAUUAAGAACUUGCACAAGCAGCUGGAGGAAGCCAUCCAAGAUGGGGAGAUCUGGGUGAUGCAGUUGAAGGACACGGAGUAUGAACUGGAGGGGAGCCGAGAUCGAGUGCAGCAGCAGGCUACUGAGAUCCUCCACAAAGCCAGUCAGAUAGGCUCUCUACAGGCCACCCAUAUGAGCCACGAGGCCACUAUCAGGGACCUGGACUUGGAGCAGAGCCGCCUGAGGGAGAAGAUCCUCAGGCUGGAGGAGGAGAGGGAGAGGGUGCUCAACCAGAGCCAGGCCACCGACGAGCAGCACAAACAUCAGGUCCUCUCACUGGAGCAGUCCCUUCGCGAAGAGAGGCAGGGCUAUGAGAAGGAGCUAGCGAAGCUGAGGGGCAAAUACGAAGAGGAGGGUGUGAGAUUCAAAGAGGCCCAGGCACAGGCACUAGAGGAGCUGUCGGAGAAACACAGGGUGACGCAGGAGAGUGCACAGAACGCUGCAGAGAAGGAGACUAAUCUAUUGAUGGCUGAAAUGGGGCAGGAGUUUGAGAUUCGGCGACUCUCAUUGGAGGAGCAGAAGAACUGUCUCCAACAGCAACUGGACAACCUGAAGAAGGAGCUUUCUGCCAAGCUCAAUAUAGCCAAUCAAGAGGUGUCUCACCUUCAGGAGUUGGUGAAGGAAGGGGAGCAAAAUCUUGGCUCUGCACACAGCCACAUCUCCAGUCUGAAGGACACCCAGGAGAAACUAUGCAUUGAACUGGACACCACCAGAGCCAGAGUGAGAGAGACCAGCAACCUGCUCACUGAUCUGCAGGAGGAGAUUGAGACCCAGAAACAGCAGCAUGAAGCCAGGGUAAUGUCCAUAAGGACAGAGGAGAAGCAGAAAAUUGACAAAAUGGCUGAAGACCUGGACCAAAAAUGGACUUAUGCUCUGAGAGAGGAGUUGAGGUUGCUGAAGGAGGAAUUGACGGAGGAAUAUGAGGCUGACAGACAAGCCUCCUUGUCCCAGCUGUCUCAGCAGAAGGAGCUGGAGUUGAUGGCGGCCAGGGAAGGCUGGCAGAGGAAAGUGGAGGACCUGCUGGAACAGAUCUCCCUGCUGAAGCAGAGUCUGGAGCUACAGCUCUCCCAGUCCCAGGGCGCGCUGCAGCAGCUGCAGGCCCAGUUCAGCCAGGAGAGAGAGCACCUGAGCCAGCAACUCCAGGAGCUGCAGCUGGAGCACCAGCGCAGAGAGCACCGGCUGCAGGAGGCUCAACGCUGCGCCCAUGGCACACUGGAAGACGCACGCCAGCACCAGCUCAGGCUGGCUCCUUCUCUCUCUUUCCCCUCUCUUCUCCUAAUGUAUCUAUACCCCUGCUCCCUUUCCUUUCUUCCACUCAGCCCCCUUCCUCACUCCCUCUCUCCAUUAGUCCAUGUCCAGUUGGAUUCAUACCCAUUCCCACCCUUGUGUCCAUGUCACCAUCUGGAUGUGUCCUCUGACCUUAAGCCUCAGUCACCAAACCACAGAGCAGUGAGUUGGAAAAACUGCAGUGCUGCUGCUACCAGACCUGCUGAUGUAAUGGCAAUUAAUCCCAAUUGAAAACCACUGCUGAAUUGUUGCCUGUUACAAGAAUGUGGGCUUCUUCAAGAAAGACUUCAGGCUCUAAAGAAAAAUCAUGGAGUUGCAGGGUCUUGACCUGACUGCAGUUCAGCGUCGUAACCGUCUUCAGUCGGAAAAUGCUCCCCUUCGAUGGCCACUGAAGAAGUGUGCUCUUCACGGAUGAAUCACGGUUUCAACUGUAGGGGGCAGAUGGCAGACAGUAUGGGUUCGUGUGGGCGAGCGGUUUGCUAAUGUCAACGUCGUCAAAAUAGUGCCCCAUGGUGGCGGUGGGGUUAUGGUAUGGGCAGGUUUAAGCUACGGACAACGAACACAAUUGCAUUUUAUCAAUGGAAAUUUUAAUUGAUCCUGAGGCUUAUUGUCAUACCAUUCAUCCACCAUCAUCACCUCAUGUUUCAGGAUGAUAAUGCACACCCCCAUGUCGCAAGGAUCUACACAAUUCCUGAAAACAGAAAAUGUCCCAUUUCUUCCAUGGCCUGCAUACUCACCAGAAGUCACCUAUUGAGCAUGUUUGGGAUGUUCUGGAAGAACGUGUACAACAGUGUAUUCCAGUUCAUGCCAAUAUACAGAAACUUCGCACAGUUAUUGAAGAGGAAUGGGACAACAUUCCACAGGCCACAAUCAACAGCCUGAUGUGUUGCACUGCAAGAGGCAAAUGGUUGUCACACCAGGUACCGACUGGUUUCUGAUCCACACCCUACCUUAUUUUUAAAGGUACUGUUUCUGUGACCAAUAGAUGCACAUCUGUAUUUCCAGUCAUGUGAAAUCCAUAGAUUAGGGCCUAAUGAAUUUAUUUAAAUUGACUGAUUUCCUUAUAUGACUGCGUGGCCAUGCACGCCUCCAACUCAAUCAUCGCGUUUUCAGACGACACCACAGUGGUAGGCUUGAUUAACAACAACAAGACGGCCUACAGGGAGGAGGUGAAGGCCCUCAGGGUGUCUGGUGUCAGGAAAUAACCUCUCACUCAACGUCAACAAAACAAAGGAAAUGAUCAUGGACUUCAGGAAACAGCAGAGGGAGCACAAUGCUUCACCGGGGGCAAACUACCAGCCAUCCAGGACACCUACAGGACCCGAUGUCACAGGAAGGACAAAAAUAUCAUCAAGGACAACAACCACCCGAGCCAUUGCCUGUUCACCCCGCUAUCACCCAGAAGGCAAGGUCAGUACAGGUGUAUCAAAGAUGGGACCGAGAGACUGAAAAACAGCUUCUAUCUCAAGGCCAUCAGACUGUUAAACAGCCAUCACUAACAUAGAGGCUGCUGCCAAUAUACAGACUCAAAUCUCUUGCCACUUUAAUACAUUUAUUGAAUUAAAGGUAUCACUAGUCACUUUAAAUAACGACACUUUAAUAAGGUCUACAGAUCCUACAUUACUCAUCUCAUAUGUAUAUACUGUGUUCUAUACCACCAACUGCAUCUUGCCUAUGCCGCACGGCCAUCGCUCAUCCAUAUAUUUAUAUGUACAUAUUCUUAUUCAUCCCUUUACAUUUGUGUGGGUAAGGUAGUCAUUGGGUAGUCAGUGGGUUAACUGCCUGUUCAGGGGCAGAAUGACAAAUGUGUCCCUUGUCAGCUCGAGGAUUUGAACUUGCAACCUUUUGGGUACUAGUCCAACCCUCUAACCACUUGGCCUAGUGGUUAGAGGGUUGGACUAGUACCCAAAAGGUUCCGGCAGGCUUAUUUUUUUGCCAUGCUAAGAUUAUUUAAUGAGAAUAUGACUAUAAUAUUAUAAACAAGCACAUAAAAUGGCACAAUCUGGAAUGAUCUUGUCUUUAAUGGCGCAAAAAGGAUUAUAUUGGAUAUCACAAUAUUUGGACAAGCAUAUCAUAGAACAGGUCUCCUGUCAGAACAGAAAUUACAAGAUGUUAUAAUGCUGUUAUUGCAUCAAAUGUUUGUUUUAUGCAACAGAAUAAGGGGUUGUUAGAACGCUCAUCUGUGUGUCUUCUACUGAGGAUGGGCCGCUGGAAAAUUUACGAUAUCUUUGGGUGAUACCGCAUUCCAGAGCAUGAGUUAAUGUUUCUGUUCUGUAAGGUACCCGGGAGAGAUGACUCCAGGGCCAGACCCUGGUCUUUACACAAUGAGAUACUAUCUGCUGUGAAUUAUAUGUAUCUUUCAUACAAAUCUUAACCUUGUGACCUGUUUCAUACAUCUGUUGUUUGUCAUGUAGACUGAAGGAGGGUGGACUUUGCUAUAAAAUGCUGUGGCUCAAAACAGAUUGUUGAGUUCUCAGUGAUCACCUCCAGGGGUGAUUACCAACCAGCUCCAUUACUGCAGUAAUUAAAUAAUAAAGUUUUAUUGUUUUGAA